AGUUGUGUGUGCCUGCAUUGUGCUCAUAAAAAGCUUGGGCUGUGAUAAUGGUACCUGGACAUUAUCAGAGCAUACAAUUACAGGAUAAGGGGGGUAAUCUCUUCCCUUCUGCCACCUUGCAGCACUUAUCGCAGCUCAGAUGGUGUUAAGAUGAGUAAGAUCUGACCUGGCAGCACAUGCAGUGAGAAUCUGCAAUGUUAGGAGUCUGCCGUUCCCAGAAAUGUGCAUUGCACGGUGAUGAUUAGGUUGGUCUAAAAACUCCAGCUUAAAAUUGAGCUUUGUUUAGACAUUGCCAUCGGUGUUCUUCUAGAAUUUUUCACUCACUCAAAGAUGGAUUAUUCACCCAGUAAUGAAAGAUGGGCAUGAAGGGAGGUCGGGAUGUUGGUGUGGAAACCACCAGGAGAUGUGAUGCUUGUGUCCCUCAGCCUCAGUGCUCACAAAACGACUGCUCUCAAAUGUUAUGCUUUUUCUACCCUAGAGGCAGAAGUUUUCCUGCUUACAGAGUGUAUUCAAAAAAAAGGGAAUGGAAUUGGAAUGCUAAGCAAUGCAUUAUUGGUGACACGGUGAGCAAAUAGGUUAUCAAUUUCUAAUGCACUCUCAGCAGCGCUGUACAAAAGCUGUGCAAAUUUGCUUUCUGUGUCGGCCAAAGGCAUCGUUGUACCAUGUGGGUGCAAUGAUUGGAGAGAACAGUUUGUAGUAGUUCACUAAACGAAGUUUAAGCCACUAUAUCUAAAUUAGGCGUUUGCCUUUGACAUCUUAUUAUUUCAUAAUUGUAACUACGAGGCUUUUCAGAGUGGGUAAUUGCUUUUUUUCCCCAAAGCUGCAUUAGUCUUCAAGGGCAAGUGAUGGUGAAAUAGAAGCCUGAGUGCCUGAAGUUGUAAAAUAAAGAGAAUCAAGCAUGAGCUAAGAGUAUAAUUCACAUAGAAACUCCCCUUCAGCUGCCGGGUCCCUCAUCUCAGAGCUGGUGGAAAAUGCUGCAGAGGAAUGGGUAGAACCCUGAAGAAAACUCAGGACAGUUUCAUGGUGGUGAUGGGCCAAGGCUGGAACUGUAGAUGCACGUGGAACUUCCCGAAGAGCUGUGUGGUUGUAGCAUGACAACCCAAUCUUCUCUUCCCUUGUGGGAUGCGGAGUUAAGGAAACCAUCCAAGUGCUAUCGGAAGCCAAAAACAGGUAUGAAGAUGGGGUAGCACCAUGUAAAAGCUGGAGUUCCCACUCAGAGCUAUUUAAUAUGCUUUUAUUCAUGGAAAGCUUUGUGGAAUUCAAACAGAAACCUUCUGGGAUAAAGUUCUGUCACCUCUCAGAGGGGUUUGGUUGCCAUUAUAGGGGACAGCAUCCCAUCUAUAAGAAUGGCACAAAGGGAAAUUAAAUUUGAGCUGAGCUUUACUUGCGUUUUUGACAUGGCUUUAAAUAUGGAAAACAUUAAACAGUGUAGAUUUGUGCUAGAUGGUGUUCUCUGUCAUAGAAGUAUCUCUGUGAGAGCUGAGCUAUGGUUUCUAAAGAGAAAAUAAAUGUCGACAUUACCAAGG
rnacentral:lncRNA from 1 species